rnacentral:rRNA from 1 species
AGUGAACGCUGGCGGUAGGCCUAACACAUGCAAGUCGAACGGCAGCACAGUAAGAGCUUGCUCUUACGGGUGGCGAGUGGCGGGCGGGUGAGGAAUACAUCGGAAUCUACUUUUUCGUGGGGGAUAACGUAGGGAAACUUACGCUAAUACCGCAUACGACCUACGGGUGAAAGCAGGGGAUCUUCGGACCUUGCGCGAUUGAAUGAGCCGAUGUCGGAUUAGCUAGUUGGCGGGGUAAAGGCCCACCAAGGCGACGAUCCGUAGCUGGUCUGAGAGGAUGAUCAGCCACACUGUAACUGAGACACGGUCCAGACUCCUACGGGAGGCAGCAGUGGGGAAUAUUGGACAAUGGGCGCAAGCCUGAUCCAGCCAUACCGCGUGGGUGAAGAAGGCCUUCGGGUUGUAAAGCCCUUUUGUUGGGAAAGAAAAGCAGCAGGUUAAUACCCCGCUGUUCUGACGGUACCCAAAGAAUAAGCACCGGCUAACUUCGUG